GAGUUUGAUCAUGGCUCAGAUUGAACGCUGGCGGCAUGCCUUACACAUGCAAGUCGAACGGCAGCAUGAUCUAGCUUGCUAGAUUGAUGGCGAGUGGCGAACGGGUGAGUAAUACAUCGGAACGUGCCCUGUAGUGGGGGAUAACUAGUCGAAAGAUUAGCUAAUACCGCAUACGACCUGAGGGUGAAAGUGGGGGACCGCAAGGCCUCAUGCUAUAGGAGCGGCCGAUGUCUGAUUAGCUAGUUGGUGGGGUAAGGCCCACCAAGGCGGCGAUCAGUAGCUGGUCUGAGAGGACGAUCAGCCACACUGGGACUGAGACACGGCCCAGACUCCUACGGGAGGCAGCAGUGGGGAAUCUUGGACAAUGGGCGAAAGCCUGAUCCAGCAAUGCCGCGUGUGUG
rnacentral:rRNA from 1 species